GGAUCCAGACUUUGAUUCUGGCUCAGGAUGAACGCUAGCUACAGGCUUAACACAUGCAAGUCGAGGGGAAACGACAUCGAAAGCUUGCUUUUGAUGGGCGUCGACCGGCGCACGGGUGAGUAACGCGUAUCCAACCUGCCCACCUUGGAGAUAACCUUGCGAAAGUAAGACUAAUACCCAAUGACAUCCCACGAAGGCAUCUGAAUGGGAUUAAAGAUUUAUCGGUGAUGGAUGGGGAUGCGUCUGAUUAGCUUGUUGGCGGGGUAACGGCCCACCAAGGCAACGAUCAGUAGGGGUUCUGAGAGGAAGGUCCCCCACAUUGGAACUGAGACACGGUCCAAACUCCUACGGGAGGCAGCAGUGAGGAAUAUUGGUCAAUGGGCGAGAGCCUGAACCAGCCAAGUAGCGUGCAGGAUGACGGCCCUAUGGGUUGUAAACUGCUUUUAUAAGGGAAUAAAGUGAGUCUCGUGAGACUUUUUGCAUGUACCUUAUGAAUAAGGACCGGCUAAUUCCGUGCCAGCAGCCGCGGUAAUACGGAAGGUCCGGGCGUUAUCCGGAUUUAUUGGGUUUAAAGGGAGCGUAGGCCGGAGAUUAAGCGUGUCGUGAAAUGUAGUGGCUCAACCUCUGCACUGCAGCGCGAACUGGUCUUCUUGAGUACGCACAACGUGGGCGGAAUUCGUGGUGUAGCGGUGAAAUGCUUAGAUAUCACGAAGAACUCCGAUUGCGAAGGCAGUUCACGGGAGCGCAACUGACGCUGAAGCUCGAAAGUGCGGGUAUCGAACAGGAUUAGAUACCCUGGUAGUCCGCACGG
rnacentral:rRNA from 2 species